GACGAACGCUGGCGGCGUGCCUAAUACAUGCAAGUAGAACGCUGAAGGAGGAGCUUGCUUCUCUGGGUGAGUUGCGAACGGGUGAGUAACGCGUAGGUAACCUGCCUGGUAGCGGGGGAUAACUAUUGGAAACGAUAGCUAAUACCGCAUAAUAGUAGAUGUUGCAUGACAUUUGCUUAAAAGGUGCAAUUGCAUCACUACCAGAUGGACCUGCGUUGUAUUAGCUAGUUGGUGAGGUAACGGCUCACCAAGGCAACGAUACAUAGCCGACCUGAGAGGGUGAUCGGCCACACUGGGACUGAGACACGGCCCAGACGCCUACGGGAGGCAGCAGUAGGGAAUCUUCGGCAAUGGACGGAAGUCUGACCGAGCAACGCCGCGUGAGUGAAGAAGGUUUUCGGAUCGUAAAGCUCUGUUGUAAGAGAAGAACGAGUGUGAGAGUGGAAAGUUCACACUGUGACGGUAUCUUACCAGAAAGGGACGGCUAACUACGUG
rnacentral:rRNA from 1 species